GUCUGACAUAACUUCUUAGUUAGUCGUUCAAACACGCAUCCAUAAUAAUGAUGAAAGCGCUUCAGAACUGUUUUCAAAACCACUUUCUUUAGUGCAAAAACCAGAGAAAUCAUUUAUUCUAUUUCCGUUUUGCAUCUCUUUAAUCUUUAUCCAUUCUUUUAUUCAUUCACAAGAUAGUUCUAACCUAGGUAUCAAAAUGGUUGCUUCCCAACUCGUAAAAUUUUCAAAAGAUCUAGCAGAUGAAACAAAUGUCUCUUUGCCUAAGGUGAUGUUCGCCGACAGCGAGGAACCGUGCGGCGUUAGGGUUCUCACCUAUCAGUCCUUGCGAGAGAUCAACACCAUCCUGACGAAGACGAGAUCCAGUAUCUCCUAGAGUCCUCAUUUGGUAAGACAGUCGUUAUAGCUGAAAAACCUGUCUUUUCUAGAAGAUUUGGUAGAUUCCUUCUUUCCAGGCAACUAAAGGCCAAAAAACAAGAAGCUUGGUUUCGAUUAGCCGAAAAGCAUAUUCGUUUUUCAUUGUGAAAGUUUUCCAUAGUGACGGGACUUGCUUGCGGUGACUUCCCAAGAAACCGAAGGUGUAGAAAAUCAUUAACGAGAAAUCCUAUUGGUCGGAGCUCUUUGGUAGUGUUGAAGAGAUGCAAGUAUUAAGAGAUGUGAAGAUGGUUAGGAAAAAACGGUUACAAAUCGAGAUAUCCAGAUGAAACUCACAUGUCUUGCAAUUUUUUCAUCCGUUUUUCUGUCCACAAAUCUCAAGAUGAAGAUUCUCAAGGAACAUGCUGAGCUGCUGGGAGACAUCGACGAAUUUUUUGCCUUCCCAUGGGGUCAACUAGCAUUCAACAUGCUGAUGACUAGCAUCAAAAAUGGGAUGAAAUUUCUCUAUCCUAAAAUACGAUAGCAUUGAAAGGUUCACACUAGGUCUAAGCUUGUAAUUGUUGAAGAUGUCCCUUUUUUACUGAAGUCGUUCAAGAAGCAUGUUCCUCAUCUGAAUCUGACAGUGACCACAAUGAGAUUGAUUGUCUGGUAAGCAAAACAAAGAAGAAGACUUUAAAUCUUGCCCAUGCUCUUGAAGUGGACAGAAAUGCAGAGGUUCUGGUCAGAAGCAUUAUUCCACAAGAUCCAAAACGACUCGUUGAUGAGUCCCUAUUUGUAUUGGCAGACGAAGUUACUGACAUCAAAGUAGAAAAACUUCUCAGGUUUAUACAUGCGAAUGAUGUCUUCUCAAAGGAUAUGUUCAAAGGUGGAGAAACCAAAUUCGAUGUAGAGAAGAUGCGUGAGUAAUCCAAAGCUGCUGCUAAAAAGAAGCAACCAAUUAACAAGCAGACACCAACUGUGGUCUUUGAUGAAGCCAGAGUUAGCUCAAUUUUUAUUUUUGUUCUGAAACCUAAGCUUCAUAGGGUUGAUGGGAAUGUUGCAUCGGCGCUCGCUUCCGUUAAAUAAUCUGCUUUCGCAUACAAAGCUUCUGUUGUUGCAGCCGUGGAGGCAAUGUUUAAGGCUUUCAAAGCCAAAUCCUUUCUUCCAUUGCCCCCAAAUGCUCAGCCUGCCGCUCAGGCACAACAUUCUACCCCACCACGUGGAAAUGGUGGCAAGGCCGGUAUCUCAGGACAUGCAGACGGAGGUGGUGGUGACGAAAAUGAUCAGAUUAUCAAAAAUGUCAUGGAAACUUUUAGUCAAUAUUCAACCCACCUGGUUCCGCUCAAUGUUGUCAUGUAAGUGUGCCUGACCUUUUUUUUUUUCAAUUUUACCAAACACCGAGAUUACACAUUCACUGUAUCAUCUUAGACUUUUGGUGUAUGCACAUAUGAUUGAAUCCAAAACUUAUUAUAUUAGCUUUUCUUA